GUGAAUCAUCGAAUUUUUGAACGCAAAUUGCACCCUCUUCGAAGAUUAUGCCUGUUUGUGGGUCAGCCUCAAAAAAAUCGACAUAGUCGCUGUUGCGCGGUGACAUUCGUCGGAACUUGGGUCAUCUUAAACCUUUGGGUUUUAUGCGGCUUCAAAUUCUCUUUACGAUUCCACGAAGUUAUCUAAGAUUUACGUCUUA
rnacentral:misc_RNA from 1 species